GGGGGGUGGGAAUCGCUCCGCGGCUUCCCGGCGAGGUCUCUCAGGCCUCUGAUCCACCCACCUGGCGGCUCUGCCCUAGGAGCCCGCUAGGCAUAGAGACUGACCUCCCUACCCCGCCCCGCCCCGCCCCAUCCCUAACAAUGCGCGGAAUUCCCGAGGCUUCUAGGUGCGCAGCAUCCGCUCUGCUACCGCAGCUCCUCCCCCGGGAACAGAAGGGUGGGAGUGAGGAUGGGACGGGUUGAGAUAGAGCAGAAAGAGGAAGCCAAAAGCUGAUUUCCCUAGGCCGUGAAGCCCAUCAGCCCUUUGACACUCCAGUCUCCUUUCCAGCAGGAACCCCCACGUGCCGGGAGAGGGACAGCCGGGCUUUCUGAUCUCCGGGCAGCAGGAUCCCGGGACGCUGAUGUUAAAUGCGCUGCCUCUAAGUUCACGAUGUGCAUGAAGGAGUUGACCUUGCCCGUCAAAACCACCUGUGGUGUAAGAGUAUGGGGGAGAGGUUCUUAUUACUCUGAACCGUGCUUUUAUUCUCCACACUCCCCUACCGAAUUUCAGGAUGCAAAAGCAAACUCUGCCUUCUUGAAAGCAGCCAACAAUCUAUAUGGAAAAAUGUACAGACAAGAUUACUAAAUAAUAUAAAGCAUUCCACGAUGCCUCAUCAAUACCAGCCAUUUUACAAGCUCCAAAAAUUAAAAACUGCUCUGUUCUGGCAACCAGGAAAAGACUGAUAUACACAAAUAGAGCAAUUAAUAGACGAGUAACGUCUUUCACUGGUUAGUUGGUUCUUACACAGCAAGCUUUAAGAAAGCAGGCACCUCCUUUUACCCCAUUUCUAUUUCCAAGCCAAAAUGAAAAUUUGUGCAAAAGUUGUUCUCUUGGGCAUUAACUGCUUCCCCCACCCCAGCUCACCUGGCACAUUCCUACACUUUUGCAAUUCCAGUAUUGUUUUUGCUCCUCCACCUGUAGAAAACUACUUUAAACCCUUUUAGCCCUUGGGAGAUAGCUCCAACACCAGCCUUAAUUACCCUAGAUGGAGACAAAAAUCUAGGGUGGGGCCUUCCUCCUAGACAGCAGGUGGAAAAAUUCUUGGAGUAUUUCUAGGAUAAAGAUAGAGACUGACUUUAGAAAUUUGCUAAACAUUUCAAGUACCUUGCAAACCACCAGGUACUAUGUGAGGUAUGUUCAGCACCAAAAUGUAUUUAAAGACUCCAGGAGGUGAGCACUAAGGGCACAAACCUCCUAUGAUGAGCCUUGUCCUGUGAGCGCUCUUUGAGCACACCUCUGUCCCUUUUGUGCCAUUGGAACCUUGACCUCAAGCUUAGGCAUCCCUGAAAUGCUCCUUCGCUACCCAGUGUCAAGGAAGAUUCAGCCCUGGACUUUGGAUUCAGAAGAACCAGGAAUACUACUCUUCCUGUAUCAAUGUAAAGAAGUAAUUGCUACUU